GACGAACGCUGGCGGCGUGCCUAAUACAUGCAAGUCGAACGCAGUUGCGAACGGGUGAGUACCGCGUAGGUAACUGCCUCAUCGCUGGGGAUAACUAUUGGAAACGAUAGCUAAUACCUCCUACUGUGAGAUGGACCUUCGGUGUAUUACCUAGUUGGUGAGGUAAAGGCUCACCAAGGCGACGAUACAUAGCCGACCUGAGAGGGGGGUCGGCCAAAAUGGGGCCGAGGAACGGGCCAGACUCCUACGGGGGGCAACAGGAGGGGAUCUUUGGCAAAUGAACGAAGUCUGGACGAGCAACGGCGCGUGAGUGAAAAAGGGUUUCGGAACGGAAAGCUCUGUUGGUAGGGAAGCGGUAACUAACCAGAAAGGGACGGCUAACUACGUGCCAGCAGCCGCGGUAAUAC
rnacentral:rRNA from 1 species